AUGAGGACAGAGCCAGUGCAUUGGGCUAGGGCCUUUUUCCAUGGAUCAAACUGUGAGUCAGUGGAUAACAACCUAUGUGAGUCUUUCAACAAUGCCAUCAUAGAAUCAAGGUUUUACCCCAUAAUAUCACAGCAAGAGAUGAUAAGGAAGAAGAUGUAUGUCAGAAUCCAGGAACAGAGAAGCAAAUGUGAUAAAUGGCAUGGAACAGUUUGCCCUAACAUUUUUAAGAAACUACAGGGCAAUAUCAAGAGAACUCAGUUCUGUGAGGUGCUUUGGAAUGGCAAGGAUGGAUUUGAGGUUAAGCAUUUGACUGGCAGAGGAAGGAGAUAUACAGUGAACCUUGAGAGGAAGACAUGCUCAUGUGGAUAUCUACAGCUGGCAGGCCUUCCUUGUUGUCAUGCAAUUUGUGCUAUAUACAAAAGUGGCGGAAAAGUAGAAGAAUUCAUUGACCCAUGCUACUACAUUGAGACUUUCAAGAAAAUAUAUGAGCAUUGUCUCCAGCCUGUGGAAGGUGAAGAAUGUUGGCCAGUCUCUCAGAACCCUAGGCCAGUGGCACCUGGCUAUAUUGCCAUGCCAGGAGCAAGGAAGAAAAACAAUGAUAGGAGGAGAGAAGAGGGGGAAGCACCCAAAGGAAAGAAACUUAGCAAGCAUGGAAUUCAAAUCACUUGUGGAUCAUGUGGGGGUAAGGGACAUAACAAAGGAUCUUGUUCAAAGAAUGCUGACAGAAACAAAAAAACAAAAGCAUUUCUUGGGAAGAGAGGGAAAAAGCAGAGGUCCACUGAGGUAAUAUGCAACUGA
rnacentral:rRNA from 1 species